rnacentral:piRNA from 1 species
UACUAGCUGAAGGCAGCCUGACAUGGU